UCUAGCUUGCCUAGAUGAUGUCGAGUGGCGGACGGGUGAGUAAUACUUAGGAACAUGCCUUUGGGUGGGGGAUAACUAUUGGAAACGAUAGCUAAUACCGCAUAACGUCUACGGACCAAAGGGGGGAGCUUGCUCCUCCCGCCCAGAGAGUGGCCUAAGCGAGAUUAGCUUGUUGGUGAGGUAAAGGCUCACCAAGGCGACGAUCUCUAGCUGUUCUGAGAGGAAGAUCAGCCACACUGGGACUGAGACACGGCCCAGACUCCUACGGGAGGCAGCAGUGGGGAAUAUUGCACAAUGGAGGAAACUCUGAUGCAGCCAUGCCGCGUGUGUGAAGAAGGCCUUCGGGUUGUAAAGCACUUUCAGUUGUGAGGAAAGCUUGUUGGUUAAUACCCAU
rnacentral:rRNA from 1 species